ACUUCUACUCAAGUAGUAUUUUACUGGGUGACUUUCACUUUUACUUGAGUAUGAUAAUUUGGGACUUUUUCCACCACUGCAAUUGAGUGCAGGAAAUGCUGAAAUUAUAAGUGCUCAUUAAAAUCACUUACAAUGUAUGUGUUGCCACCCUAGGACCACUCACUACUCAUUAAGCAAAUGUAGAACACUUAUUAUUCAAAACUCAAAAAUACCGUCUUAUUUAAAAAUUAAUAAAAAAUAUCGUUAUAUAAUAUUUUGGCCAUUUCGCCUAGUCUCACACCAAUUUUUCAGUUUGUGCUCCAAAAUCCAUUUUGCUCUCGCAAAUGUUUACUAUAAUUUUAUAACCAGUGGAAAUUCUAGCCAAUGAACAUAGCCUGUAGCAGUCUACUGAAACGCAAUUGGUCUGGUUUUUGGACAAAUCACGGCUUGACUCCGCUCUAAGCAGAUGUUUUACCAUAGAGAUGAAACGAAGGCUGACCAUCAUGAAAAGGUCCACUGUCACGAAUUUAUUCUCUGCUCAGCUGACAAGAUACAGGAUCCAUUCUGUUCCAAGUAGGUUACCUUGGCUCUCCUCUAUGCACAGCACUCUGGGGACUACCUGCAGGUUAACCAUGACAUCCACCAAUCACCCACAUAACUUAAUCAUUAGUGGUACUGAGUUCCUCUAAUUUGCUGUAUGAAGGCAUUGUGCAUAGGACAUUUGUCAGGUACAGAGUAUGAUGACCAGCUGCUUUCUAUUGGUUAGAAAUAUUUUUCUACACUGAAUGAAUGUGACAGUCAUUAACCGUGUUUCCAUCCACAGUUUUUAGUGUGAGUAAAGUCAUAAAAAAAAAUUGAUAAUUUGUUUGUUCAACAUGUUGGGAUCUUUUUGUGUCUAAAAUUAAUUAUGCGAGAAAUGGCUGUGGAAACACCAGUAUGCGCAAAUAUUGAUAUAAUAACAAUCAUAUUGAAGUAAACUUGGAGUCACGCAAUGACCUGGUGUGUGGUCCUCUCACUAGGACUUGGGAAACCAUGCAGUUUGUUAGAAUACCAAUGAAAUAAAUGAUGAGUAACUUCACAAGGUGGGGAAAGUGCACGGUAUGAGCUUGACGCUCCCUUCCAAUAAAUGUCAAGGGGCUUAUUCUGAUGACAUGAUGAUUGAUGCUUGACUGCCGUUCAACAAAUAAAAAUAUUCUCGUUCUUAUCCAUAAUGAUAUCAUUAUGUAGACUAACAUACCCGCAGAGUAGGCCUAUCUGCCAGCUGUUGGCUAGAGUUCAUGUGUCAAGACCAGAGUGGGCUAUUUAACGAAACAGCUUGUGACAAAACUAUCAGUAGAGUUGAAAAUGGGAUGGAAACACAUUGAACUUUAGAUUUUUAUUCGGUACAUGAAAAACUUUAUCGAAAAAGUAUGCACUGUGUGUGCACUACGUCAUCACGCACGGAUCUUUAUCUGCAACAAGUCAGUUGGGUGGGAAAAUGCCCAUAUUUUUUUAGAUUCUCAUAACUCUUUUGCCAAUUGGAUGGAAACCAAGCUACUGCUAAACAGUAUGAGAAGUGUAGGUAAGGGGUGAAUUGAAAACCUAUAGGAGGAUAGCUCUCCUCGAGGUGUGUUGGACAUGAAAUGACAGCAGGCUGUCAUAGGGUCUGACAAGUGGUGUGGAUUGGUACAGGGCAAUUCCACAUUAUUAAGAGUGAUGCUGAGACUCAGAUGAAUUACUUUAAAAUGUAUGUCAUACAAACCAAUGAUUGCAAGUUGUUCAAAGUAGUCCUUGUGCAUAGAGUUGUGUGGUUUGUUUCACUUUGAAAUCAUUUGUUUUUGUUUGACAUACAUUAUAAAGUGAGCUGGCCUACAGCUCGGCUCAGUCCCACAUCGUGUUUUAUCACUUAUUUGUCUAAAUUAUUAUCCACAGUUGCCUCUUUUGAUUCAGCCACAGCAGUCUUAAGAUAGAUUGUUACCUUGAAUGCAAUAUUAAGAUGUCAAAACAUUUUAAACUCCAAUAUAACUUUUUUGACAUCUUAUUUUCCUCUCUUUCACUCGUUCUCAGGACACAGGUCGUGUGUGUGUGUGUGUGUGUGUGUGUAGAGAGAGAACACAUUUGACGAGGUGGAGUCUGGCUUCUACUUCAUCGCCCUGGACUACUACACAACUCAGCACAUAUGUGUUUCUCCACCUUCCCCAGUGCCCUACUUUUGUUUACUUUUUAACAAUGUCUAUGGAUCGUAAAAUCAUUUUAUGUUGGGACUUCAAAUCCACACUAAAUGUAAUUCUAUGUCCUGUAUUGUUCUGCACUCUCUAAAGAUUAUGCUAAUGCCCCACUGUAAGAACCUGGAGAAACUGGUUCUGAGGGAGGUGACAUGGUCACAAAGAGUGCCUGGGGCACUUUCCAGCUCUACGGCUGUCUGGACAACAGCCAGAGGGUGGUCAGCUCUGCUGCACCUGAGAGCUAAAGAGUUAUGGAUGCAAGGACUGACCAUCACGCCUCCUUCUAAAACCCUAUUAGAGGAGACAACCCAAGGUUCCUCGCCUCAGAUCCGCUCCAAUGGGUUUUGACAAGGAUACAAUGGUAGUUCACAAUCAGAAAAUGACGGUCUGCUGAGAGGGUCAUUGGCUGCAACCUGCCCUCCAUCAAGGUCCUGCACGACUCCAGGGAAAGGAAGGCUGGAGUAAAGAUCAUCGCCAAACCCUCCCACUUCCAAAGUUUCCCCUCUGGCAAACGGUUCAGGUCAAUCACGACCAAAACCUCCUGAACAGUUUCUUCCCCCGUGCUGUGGGCCUCACUAACCGGUCACCUAGUCCAUGAUGAUCUCCUCAUCCAUGGAUGUCUCUCUCUGCGCUAUUCAUUCAGUGACUAUGCCCCCUGCACUAUCAUUCCAGAACUGCACAUUGCUCUUUGUACUCUGCACAUUUCUUACAUGCAUCAUUUAUAAUGUAGCAUAUAGUGUUCAUAGUGUACAUACUGUAUGUGGAUCUUUGGAAAUUCUGCAUCUAUAUAUAUUUUGUUCUGUAUAUUCUGUUUAUUGUGGCAGCACCAUUUCACAGUCAAAUUCCUCUACAUGCAAAUGUAUUCUGACAUGUUAACCUGAGUUUAGUUGGUUUAUCAUGUCAGUUGGAGUUUACAUGAUAUUAUUUGGGACUGGUUAUGUACUGUAGCAGGUAACAGAUUAUACCCUUUGUCUUCAUAUAAUAAAAAAUCCCCUGUG